UCUUGGCCAGCCUUCUGAAAGGAAGAUUAAUACAAGAUGGCAUCAUGAGUUCACAUGUUCACAUGAUUAAAGGUAUUCCGGUAGACGAUGGGGAUGCGUUCCAUUAGAUAGUAGGCGGGGUAACGGCCCACCUAGUCUUCGAUGGAUAGGGGCUCUGAGAGGAAGGUCCCCCACAUUGGAACUGAGACACGGUCCAAACUCCUACGGGAGGCAGCAGUGAGGAAUAUUGGUCAAUGGGCGCAGGCCUGAACCAGCCAAGUAGCGUGAAGGAUGACUGCCCUAUGGGUUGUAAACUUCUUUUAUAAAGGAAUAAAGUCGGGUAUGUAUACCCGUUUGCAUGUACUUUAUGAAUAAGGAUCGGCUAACUCCGUGCCAGCAGCCGCGGUAAUACGGAGGAUCCGAGCGUUAUCCGGAUUUAUUGGGUUUAAAGGGAGCGUAGAUGGAUGUUUAAGUCAGUUGUGAAAGUUUGCGGCUCAACCGUAAAAUUGCAGUUGAUACUGGAUAUCUUGAGUGCAGUUGAGGCAGGCGGAAUUCGUGGUGUAGCGGUGAAAUGCUUAGAUAUCACGAAGAACUCCGAUUGCGAAGGCAGCCUGCUAAGCUGCAACUGACAUUGAGGCUCGAAAGUGUGGGUAUCAAACAGGAUUAGAUACCCUGGUAGUCCACACGGUAAACGAUGAAUACUCGCUGUUUGCGAUAUACAGCAAGCGGCCAAGCGAAAGCGUUAAGUAUUCCACCUGGGGAGUACGCCGGCAACGGUGAAACUCAAAGGAAUUGACGGGGGCCCGCACAAGCGGAGGAACAUGUGGUUUAAUUCGAUGAUACGCGAGGAACCUUACCCGGGCUUAAAUUGCAGAUGAAUUACGGUGAAAGCCGUAAGCCGCAAGGCAUCUGUGAAGGUGCUGCAUGGUUGUCGUCAGCUCGUGCCGUGAGGUGUCGGCUUAAGUGCCAUAACGAGCGCAACCCUUGUUGUCAGUUACUAACAGGUUCCGCUG
rnacentral:rRNA from 1 species